AAAAUGACUCUCAGCAACGGAUAUCUUGGCUCUUGCAACGAUGAAGAACGCAGCGAAAUGCGAUACCUAGUGUGAAUUGCAGAAUUCCGCGAAUCAUCGAGUUUUUGAACGCAAGUUGCGCCCGAGGCUCGUCUGAGGG
rnacentral:rRNA from 1 species